AACGAACGCUGGCGGCAUGCCUAACACAUGCAAGUCGAACGAGACCUUCGGGGCUAGUGGCGCACGGGUGCGUAACGCGUGGGAACCUGCCCUUAGGUUCGGAAUAACUCCCCGAAAGGGGUGCUAAUACCGGAUAAUGUCUUCGGACCAAAGAUUUAUCGCCUUCGGAUGGGCCCGCGUUGGAUUAGCUAGUUGGUAGGGUAAAAGCCUACCAAGGCGACGAUCCAUAGCUGGUCUGAGAGGAUGAUCAGCCACACUGGGACUGAGACACGGCCCAGACUCCUACGGGAGGCAGCAGUGGGGAAUAUUGGACAAUGGGCGAAAGACUGAGCCAGCAAUGCCGCGUGAGUGAUGAAGGCCUUAGGGUUGUAAAGCUCUUUUACCCGGGAUGAUAAUGACAGUACCGGGAGAAUAAGCUCCGGCUAACUCCGUG
rnacentral:rRNA from 1 species